rnacentral:rRNA from 1 species
CCUACGGGGGGCAGCAGUGAGGAAUAUUGGUCAAUGGACGAGAGUCUGAACCAGCCAAGUAGCGUGAAGGAUGACUGCCCUAUGGGUUGUAAACUUCUUUUAUAUGGGAAUAAAACAGGGUAUGCAUACCCUCUUGUAUGUACCAUAUGAAUAAGGAUCGGCUAACUCCGUGCCAUCAGCCGCGGUAAUACGGAGGAGCCGAGCGUUGUCCCGAUUUAUUGGGGUUAAGGGGAGCGUAGGUGGAUUGUUAGGUAGGUUGUGAAAGUGUGCGGCUCACCCGGAAAAUUGCAGUUGAAACUGGCAGUAUUGAGUACAGUAGAGGUGGGCGGAAUUCGUGGUGUAGCGGUGAAAUGCUUAGAUAUCACGAAGAACUCCGAUGGCGAAGGCAGCUCACUGGACUGCAACUGACACUGAUGCUCGAAAGUGUGGGUAUCAAACAGGAUUAGAUACCCGGGUAGUC